rnacentral:snRNA from 1 species
GUGCUCGCUUUGACAGCACAUAAGAUACAGAGAAGAUUAGCAUGGCCCCUGUGAAAGGAUGACAUGUAAAUUCGUGAAGUGUUAUAAAAGAAA